CUUAAAUUUGAUCUCUAACCA
rnacentral:siRNA from 1 species